AGAGUUUGAUCCUGGCUCAGAUUGAACGCUGGUGGCAUGCUUAACACAUGCAAGUCGAACGGUAACAGGUCUUAGGAUGCUGACGAGUGGCGGACGGGUGAGUAACGCGUAGGAAUCUGCCCAUUUGAGGGGGAUACCAGUUGGAAACGACUGUUAAUACCGCAUAAUAUCUGUGGAUUAAAGGUGGCUUUCGGGCUGUCGCAGAUGGAUGAGCCUGCGUUGGAUUAGCUAGUUGGUGGGGUAAGGGCCCACCAAGGCUACGAUCCAUAGCUGAUUUGAGAGGAUGAUCAGCCACAUUGGGACUGAGACACGGCCCAAACUCCUACGGGAGGCAGCAGUGGGGAAUAUUGGACAAUGGGGGCAACCCUGAUCCAGCAAUGCCAUGUGUGUGAAGAAGGCCCUAGGGUUGUAAAGCACUUUAGUUGGGGAGGAAAGCCUCAAGGUUAAUAGCCUUGGGGAGGACGUUACCCAAAGAAUAAGCACCGGCUAACUCCGUGCCAGCAGCCGCGGUAAUACGGGGGGUGCAAGCGUUAAUCGGAAUUACUGGGCGUAAAGGGUCUGUAGGUGGUUUGUUAAGUCAGAUGUGAAAGCCCAGGGCUCAACCUUGGAACUGCAUUUGAUACUGGCAAACUAGAGUACGGUAGAGGAAUGGGGAAUUUCUGGUGUAGCGGUGAAAUGCGUAGAGAUCAGAAGGAACACCAAUGGCGAAGGCAACAUUCUGGACCGAUACUGACACUGAGGGACGAAAGCGUGGGGAUCAAACAGGAUUAGAUACCCNNGUAGUCC
rnacentral:rRNA from 1 species